GCUGCAACUGUUUAUUAAAAACACAGCACUGUGCAAAAUCGUAAGAUGACGUAUACGGUGUGACGCCUGCCCGGUGCCGGAAGGUUAAUUGAUGGGGUUAGACUUCGGUCGAAGCUCUUGAUCGAAGCCCCGGUAAACGGCGGCCGUAACUAUAACGGUCCUAAGGUAGCGAAAUUCCUUGUCGGGUAAGUUCCGACCUGCACGAAUGGCGUAAUGAUGGCCACGCUGUCUCCACCCGAGACUCAGUGAAAUUGAAAUCGCUGUGAAGAUGCAGUGUACCCGCGGCUAGACGGAAAGACCCCGUGAACCUUUACUACAGCUUGGCACUGAACAUUGACCCUACAUGUGUAGGAUAGGUGGGAGGCUUUGAAGCACGUACGCCAGUAUGUGUGGAGCCGUCCUUGAAAUACCACCCUUGUAGUGUUGAUGUUCUAACGUCGACCCCUUAUCGGGGUUGCGGACAGUGCCUGGUGGGUAGUUUGACUGGGGCGGUCUCCUCCCAAAGAGUAACGGAGGAGCACGAAGGUGGGCUAAUCACGGUUGGACAUCGUGAGGUUAGUGCAAUGGCAUAAGCCCGCUUGACUGCGAGAAUGACAAUUCGAGCAGGUGCGAAAGCAGGUCAUAGUGAUCCGGUGGUUCUGAAUGGAAGGGCCAUCGCUCAACGGAUAAAAGGUACUCCGGGGAUAACAGGCUGAUACCGCCCAAGAGUUCAUAUCGACGGCGGUGUUUGGCACCUCGAUGUCGGCUCAUCACAUCCUGGGGCUGAAGUCGGUCCCAAGGGUAUGGCUGUUCGCCAUUUAAAGUGGUACGCGAGCUGGGUUUAGAACGUCGUGAGACAGUUCGGUCCCUAUCUGCCGUGGGCGUUGGAAGAUUGAAGGGGGCUGCUCCUAGUACGAGAGGACCGGAGUGGACGAACCUCUGGUGUUCGGGUUGUGUCGCCAGACGCAUUGCCCGGUAGCUAAGUUCGGAAUCGAUAACCGCUGAAAGCAUCUAAGCGGGAAGCGAGCCCUGAGAUGAGUCUUCCCUGAUACUUUAAGUAUCCUAAAGGGUUGUCGGAGACUACGACGUUGAUAGGUCAGGUGUGUAAGUGCUGUGAGGCAUUGAGCUAACUGAUACUAAUUGCCCGUGAGGCUUAACCAUACAACAC
rnacentral:rRNA from 1 species